UUAAAUUAUCGUUUUAUUACGAAGUGGUCAUUCAACUAUUAAGCUGCGUUAGCUCCCUAACGGCAGUCUUACGUAGUAGUCCAAAUAGGUUUUAACGGAAUUUAACAGUAGAGUGACUACUUCGUAACAAAACAAUAAUAUAC
rnacentral:pre_miRNA from 1 species